rnacentral:lncRNA from 1 species
AAGGGAAUUCACCUACCCAAGUCAAAAGAUACCUCACAAAUGUCCGUAGGAUUUCACCUUUGCUAUGGACCAGAGACUGUUGGUAGAGCCCCUCGGAGGAGAUUGCUGGAAGUUGAAGGCGUUGUCAGAUCACUUCCCGAAGAGCUUGCCGCAGCUCAUCCUCCCCGCAGUGUCUGACGCGUCCGCCACUCUCACCAGCACCGGAUAGUAACCAUCCUUUUUUUCUGUCUUUCCUAUUUGCUAGUGAGAUGCAUAAAAACGUGGUGUUCA